AGAACGAACGCUGGCGGCGUGGAUAAGACAUGCAAGUCGAACGAGGUAGUUUGGUAGCAAUAUCAAACUGCCUAGUGGCAAACGGGUGCGUAACACGUAGGUUACAUUCCGGAAAGUGUGGGAUAGCCCAGGGAAACUUGGAUUAAUACCGCAUGUGAUCGCAAGAUCAAAGGCGAAAGCCGCUUUCUGAUUGGCCUGCGCCCUAUCAGCUAGUUGGUGAGGUAAUGGCUCACCAAGGCUACGACGGGUAGCUGGUCUGAGAGGACGACCAGCCACCACUGGAACUGAGACACGGUCCAGACACCUACGGGUGGCAGCAGUCGAGAAUCUUUCACAAU
rnacentral:rRNA from 1 species